CCGAAAUUUAAAACUCACAACGCGAGUCUCGUGCGGAAGCAAAUAUGACUGCCGAGACUUUGUGACUCUUCAAGUCUUCCUUUGCUCAAGUCAAACCACACUCGUGAAGCACAUGUGACGAGUCUGUGGUGAGCAUCGGGAGCACUGCGUUUCCUUCGGGAUUCACAGUCUAAAAACGAAUUGUAAAAGUAUAUAUUAUAUAACAAAAAAAGACGAAAAAAU
rnacentral:misc_RNA from 1 species